rnacentral:rRNA from 1 species
AUUGAUUUACCUGGACCAAUACAUGAGAUUCUUAUGCUAUUUGGGGGAUUUGUUCUUCUACUAGGGGGUCUAGGAGUAGUAUUACUUACCAACCCCAUUUAUUCUGCCUUUUCGCUGGGAUUAGUUCUUGUUUGUAUAUCCUUAUUCUAUUUUUUAUUAAAUUCCUACUUUGUAGCUAUCGCACAACUUCUUAUUUAUGUGGGAGCCAUAAAUGUCUUGAUCAUAUUCGUUAUGUUCGUAAAUGGCUCAGAAUGGUCUAAAGAUAAGAAUUAUUGGACUAUUGGAGAUGGGUUCACUUCACUCGUUUGUAUAACUAUUGUUUUUUCACUAAUGACUACUAUCCCAGAUACGUCGUGGUAUGGAAUUCUUUGGACUACAAGAUCAAACUAA